AAUGUCCCAAAUGCACAGCCAAGCAAAGUUUAGUCUCACACAAACAAUUUAAGUCAGGUUUGUGUGCAAAACUGUCAAGAACCAGGACGCCCUCUUGUUUCCUCUCUGAUGCAGACACGAUGCUGUAUGUUUGGUGAUGUCAGCUCGUCUGACAGACUGACAUCCUUCUAUUCGCCUUCCUGUGUCUCCGGCAGCAGCGGGCCACAUGGGGGAAUCAUGUUUUCAGGCCGAAUGUUUGGCUGUUACACGUGGGUGUCUUUUUUUUUUUUUUGUACUAUCUGAAGGAGUCGUCCUCCGGUGCGGUUGAUGUAAGAGCCGCGGCUCAGACGACACGAGCCUGCCAACAGUCUGCCACGGAUUCCUCCGAUCCCUCCUCGCAAGUCUCCUUAUCCCGGGCGUCGUUAUCGCGAAGGGUCUGGCAGCCAUCAGCUGCACGGCAAACGUCCCCCGAAUCCGCUCCGAACCGAACGGGGCCCACGGCGUCUCCGUUGUGUCGAGCGAACAACGCAAGGGCCUUCAUGUCACCCGGGGGUUGGAAGGAGUCCUGCCCGAGAGAGAGAAUGGAGCCAUUGGCAGACUCGUACUGGUCCCAAGCGUUUCCUCGCGGGGAGAAGUGUGAUCCCGAUGAAAGCGCAUCAUCUCGGCGGUCUUGGGAAUCACUGUACAUGGUGACCCCGAUGACCCUCAGGUCACCGUAAUGUGGGAACAACAAGUCCAUGCGACAGAAGAGAAGCACCUCUUGGUGCUGCUUCAUUUGGGAAGCACGGAUGGCGCCAGGUCUCUUCAAAGAAGUGGGCACAACAGUUGCUGGGCAGCCUGACAUUUCCUGCCAGUUGACAAAAGCCACGAGUCAACAGGCUGGUGAAAUAGCCUCGGGCCCGGGCAGGCUUAGCUCCGCUUCCAUCCGACCUCUUCCAGACUUUCAGACGCGUUUGUCUGACUGUCGAUGAAAGCAUCCCCUCGCUUCCUUCCCCGAUGUCGAUGUGCAUUCUGUCCAAUGCCAUAAGUGUUUUAUUUAUAAUUUAUACAAAAAUGAAAACAAAUAAAGAUGUAGCAAACCUUUUCCAUCACA